UUGAGCAUCAAACUUUUAAAUUGAAGAGUUUGAUCAUGGCUCAGAUUGAACGCUGGCGGCAGGCCUAACACAUGCAAGUCGAACGGUAACAGGAAGAAG
rnacentral:rRNA from 1 species